UGUUCAGUCGGUAGAACGGCGGACUGUUAAUCCGUAUGUCACUGGUUCGAGUCCAGUCAGAGGAGCCA
rnacentral:tRNA from 1 species